AUUCCUUAAAGUAAUGAGUAAGGAAAAUAACGACCCAGGUUCUCGCCAUGACAAGCGAGAAUAAUUUUUGAACAGGUAGAGGUCGGAGCCACGAGUUGACCCACCUACUUUGCAGGAUGCUGGCUUUGACUUGAUUUGCCCC
ensembl:snRNA U12 U12 minor spliceosomal RNA